ACCCUGUAGAACCGAAUGUGUGUUUACACAGCAAAUUCACAGAUUCGGUUUUAGGGGAGU
rnacentral:pre_miRNA from 1 species